rnacentral:rRNA from 1 species
UACGUAGGGGGCUAGCGUUGUCCGGAAUCAUUGGGCGUAAAGCGCGUGUAGGCGGCCCGGUAAGUCCGCUGUGAAAGUCGGGGGCUCAACCCUCGGAUGCCGGUGGAUACUGUCGGGCUCGAGUACGGAAGAGGCGAGUGGAAUUCCUGGUGUAGCGGUGAAAUGCGUAGAGAUCCGGAGGAACACCAGUGGCGAAGGCGACACGCUGGGCCGUACCUGACACUGAUGCGCGACAGCAUGGGGAGCAAACAGG